rnacentral:tRNA from 1 species
GGAGAGAUAGCCAAGUGGUUUAAGGCAUAGCAUUAGAACUGUUAUUUAGACUUUUAUUUACCGAGGGCUUGAAUCCUUCUCUUUAUG